rnacentral:rRNA from 1 species
UCGAGAAUCAUUCGCAAUGGGCGAAAGCCUGACGAUGCGACGCCGUGUGAGCGAUGAAGGCCUUAGGGUUGUAAAGCUCUUUCGCUUGGGAACAAGAGAGGCUAACUAAUAUUUAGCCAAUUUGAGGGUACCAGGUAAAGAAGCACCGGCUAACUCCGUGCCAGCAGCUGCGGUAAUACGGAGGGUGCAAGCAUUAAUCGGAUUUAUUGGGCGUAAAGGGCGCGUAGGCUGAAAGGAAAGUCAGAUGUGAAAUCCCGGGGCUCAACCUCGGAACAGCAUUUGAAACUCCCUUUCUAGAGGGUAGGCGGAGAAAACGGAAUUCCACAAGUAGCGGUGAAAUGCGUAGAUAUGUGGAAGAACACCGGUGGCGAAGGCGGUUUUCUAGCUUAUACCUGACGCUGAGGCGCGAAAGCAAGGGGAUCAAACAG